CUUAAAGACUCCAUUCCAAAGGAUGAUAUGGGGCCAAUUGAAAUUCUAAAGUUUUUAAAGUGACAUGAUUGUUUUCCCAAUGCAGGUAUUGCAUACAUAGUUCUAUUGACAAUUCAUGUGACUGUUCCAUUAGCAGAAAGAAGCUUUUCAAAAUUAAAGCUAUUGAAGUCCUAUAUGUGUACUACAAUGACACAACAAAGGGUUACUGAUUUGGCCACAAUAGCACUUGAGAGUGAAGUGUUGGAGAACAUUGAUUACGAGGAUAUAAUUGAAGAUUUUAAUUCAAAGAACACUAAAAGAAUGUUGUUAUUCAAGUAA
rnacentral:rRNA from 1 species